CUUCCAGAAGCAACGUUACGUACUUUUCUUAGAGAUAUGGCUAGAAAAAAGAGUAGAAAGGUUAGUGGAGCUGCAUUAGCGAAAAUGCUGGGGCGAAAGAGCAAGGAGGCAGUCCAGGAAUCUUCUGUUACGGUUGAUAGCUCCACAGG